rnacentral:rRNA from 1 species
UGGGGAAUCUUGCACAAUGGGGGAAACCCUGAUGCAGCGACGCCGCGUGAGUGAUGAAGCCCUUCGGGGUGUAAAGCUCUUUCGGCAGGGACGAUAAUGACGGUACCUGAAGAAGAAGCUGCGGCUAACUACGUGCCAGCAGCCGCGGUAAUACGUAGGCAGCGAGCGUUGUUCGGAGUUACUGGGCGUAAAGAGUGCGUAGGCGGUUUUCUAAGUUUGGUGUGAAAUCUCCCGGCUUAACUGGGAGGGUGCGCCGAAGACUGGAAGGCUUGAGUAUGGGAGAGGUAAGCGGAAUUCCUGGUGUAGCGGUGAAAUGCGUAGAUAUCAGGAGGAACACCUGCGGUGUAGACGGCUUACUGGACCAUAACUGACGCUGAGGCACGAAAGCGUGGGUAGCAAACAG